rnacentral:rRNA from 1 species
UACGUAGGUGACCAGCGUUGUCCGGAUUUACUGGGCGUAAAGAGCGCGCAGGCGGUCGUUCAAGUCGAGUGUGAAAGCCCCCGGCUCAACUGGGGAGGGUCAUUCGAUACUGAUCGACUUGAAGGCAGGAGAGGGAAGUGGAAUUCCCGGUGUAGUGGUGAAAUGCGUAGAUAUCGGGAGGAACACCAGUGGCGAAGGCGACUUCCUGGCCUGUUCUUGACGCUGAGGCGGCGAAAAGCUAGGGGAGCAAACGGGG